rnacentral:misc_RNA from 1 species
UCCGAGUUGUCCCCGGCAGUCUCUUAUGAGUCCCCGGCAUAACCCGCUGGUAACAUAAGACAAGGGUUGCGCUCGUUGCGGGACUUAACCCAACAUCUCACGACACGAGCUGACGACAACCAUGCACCACCUGUGUACCGCCCCGAAGGACACCGUAUCUCUACGGCUUUUCGGUACAUGUCAAGCCCAGGUAAGGUUCUUCGCGUUGCCUCGAAUUAAGCCACAUGCUCCGCCGCUUGUGCGGGCCCCCGUCAAUUCCUUUGGGUUUUAGCCUUGCGGCCGUACCCCCCAGGCGGAGUGCUUAAUGCGUUAGCGUCGGCAGUGAAAGCGUUGAAACUUCCACCACCUAGCACUCAUCGUUUACAGCUAGGACUAC